UACGGGGGGAGCAAGCGUUGUUCGGAUUUACUGGGCGUAAAGGGCGCGUAGGCGGUCGUGACAAGUCACUUGUGAAAUCUCCGGGCUUAACUCGGAACGGUCAAGUGAUACUGUCGGACUAGAGUGCAGAAGGGGCAACUGGAAUUCUCGGUGUAGCGGUGAAAUGCGUAGAUAUCGAGAGGAACACCUGCGGCGAAGGCGGGUUGCUGGGCUGAUACUGACGCUGAGGCGCGAAAGCCAGGGGAGCGAACGGG
rnacentral:rRNA from 1 species